rnacentral:rRNA from 1 species
GACGAACGCUGGCGGCGUGCCUAACACAUGCAAGUCGAACGAAGCAUUUAAGUGAAUCUCUUCGGAGUGAAGCUUUUAUGACUUAGUGGCGGACGGGUGAGUAACGCGUGAGUAACCUGCCUUUCAGAGGGGGAUAACAGUUGGAAACGACUGCUAAUACGCAUAACGUAUCGGAACCGCAUGAUUCUGAUACCAAAGCUGAGGCGCUGAAAGAUGGACUCGCGUCUGAUUAGAUAGUUGGUGAGGUAACGGCUCACCAAGUCGACGAUCAGUAGCCGGGACUGAGAGGUUGAACGGCCACAUUGGGACUGAGACACGGCCCAGACUCCUACGGGAGGC